AUACGUAGGGUGCGAGCGUUGUCCGGAAUUACUGGGCGUAAAGAGCUCGUAGGUGGUUUGUCGCGUCGUCUGUGAAAUUCCGGGGCUUAACUCCGGGCGUGCAGGCGAUACGGGCAUAACUUGAGUACUGUAGGGGAGACUGGAAUUCCUGGUGUAGCGGUGAAAUGCGCAGAUAUCAGGAGGAAACCCUGUGGCGAAGGUGGAUUUCUGGGGAGGAACGGAGGCUGAGGAGCCAAAGCACGGGUGGGGAAAAGGAUAUGAUACCCUGGUAGUCCAUGCCGUAAACGGUGGGCGCUAGGUGUAGGGGUCUUCCACGACUUCUGUGCCGUAGCUAACGCAUUAAGCGCCCCGCCUGGGGAGUACGGCCACAAGGCUAAAACUCAAAUGAAUUGACGGGG
rnacentral:rRNA from 1 species